GACGAACGCUGGCGGCGUGCUUAACACAUGCAAGUCGAACGGAAAGGCCCGGCUUUUUUGGGGUGCUCGAGGGGCGACCGGGGGAGUAACACGUGAGUAACCUACCCUUGACUUUGGGAUAACUUAAGGAAACUGGGGCUAAUACGGGAUAGGAGCUCCUGCUGCAGGGUGGGGGUUGGAAAGUUUAGGCGGUUGGGAGUGGACUGGCGGCGUAUCAGCUUGUUGGUUGGGUAGUGUGAUACCAAGGCUUGGCGGCGUAGCCGGGCUGAGAGGGUGACCGGCCCCACUGGGACUGAGAUACGGCCCGGACUACUAUGGGAGGCAGGACAGCGGAAGAGUGUACAAUGCGCGGAGCCCUGAUGUAGUCAAGCAGCGUGGGGGAUGAGGGCCUGCCCGUUGGAUAGUGAAGCCGUCUUUGACGAAGCGAGAGUGACGGUAACGGGUAAAGAAGCUCCGGCUAACUACGUG
rnacentral:rRNA from 1 species